rnacentral:rRNA from 1 species
CAAUAGCGUAUAUUAAAGUUGUUGCAGUUAAAAGCUCGUAGUUGGAUUUCGGAGUGGCACGGCCGGUCCGCCGCAAGGUGUGUCACUGGCCGGGCCGCUCUUCUUCGCAAAGACUUUGUGUGCUCUUGACUGAGUGUGCGGAGGACUUGCGACGUUUACUUUGAAAAAUUAGAGUGUUCAAAGCAGGCCAGCGCUUGAAUACAUAAGCAUGGAAUAAUGGAAUAGGACUUUGGUUCUAUUUUGUUGGUUUCUGGAACCGAAGUAAUGAUUGAGAGGGACAGUUGGGGGCAUUCGUAUUUCGUUGUCAGAGGUGAAAUUCUUGGAUUUACGAAAGACGAACUACUGCGAAAGCAUUUGCCAAGAAUGUUUUCAUUAAUCAAGAACGAAAGUUAGAGGAUCGAAGACGAUCAGAUACCAU